GCUAAUUUAAAGUUAGUUGAACUUUGCAUAUUGACACUAACCGGUCACUUCAUUAGGUACACCUGCAGGAUGAAGUCCCAAU